GAUUUCAACUGAAAAAGUCAUCAAUAAUAAAGUUGUAUAAUCUAUCUGGAUCUACAAUUUUUAUUUUGGUCAUUUGUUAAUCUGACAAAUUGAUAGUAUGAUUGUUCAUAAAAUUUACAUAUCUCUUAUAUGGUGUUAUAAACUAUAAGAGAGAUUUGUAAAUUUUGUGAACAAUGUUACUAUUACUUUACCAGAUGAAGAUAUGACCAAAAUAAAAAUUGUAGAUCCAGAUAGAUUAUACAACUUUGUUGUUGAUGACUUUUUCAGUUGAAGUC
rnacentral:pre_miRNA from 1 species